CAGGAAGUCCACCCCUGCGCGGCUCCUUUGGAAAGGGGUCCGCCGCCGCGGAGAGAGCUUUUCGCAACUGCGGGCUGGGGCAGGGGCCGGUCAGAGGAGGAUCCAGACCGGGAAUUAGAGGGAAGUGGACUCGGAGGAAAUGGGAUGGAGGUGGCGGUCGUUUUAACGCCAGAAGCCAGAGGGUCUCCAACGGGCAAGGCGCGAUCCCCCGGCCCUUCCUAAGGGAAGCGGCGAGGAGGGCGCAGCGAGGUCGGGCGGGCUGCGCCGGGUGGGGCGGGGAGCGCAGACAGGGGCCCGGGCACGGGAGUCGGCUCUAGGCCAAAGGUCCCGGCCGGCCCCGGGGUGGGUGACUCACCCCGGCCGCCCAGCGGCUCCACGGCGAAGACGCGCCGCCGGCCCAGCAUGGCCCCAAUCCCGGCCCCGACACGGCGCCCCGGCCGUGGCCGCUGCAGCCGGACGGAGCGAUCCCGGCCGGCGUCCCCGCGCUGCUGUCGGUGAUGAUGAUAUCAAGAGAUGAAAAUAAUAGAUAAUAACAGCAUCACAGCACCUCUGUACAGUUUCCAAAGGGCUUUCACGUGCAUUAUUGUGCCUGAGCCUUGGGACGACGCUAAGAUGAAGCACGGAUGUUAUCAGGUGUGGUCACCUGCAGCCGAGGACCCCGUGACUCCAGGGGCGAAGUCACCAUCUGUCUGCGCCGCCCUCCCCCCACCCUUCCGCCUCUCCCCGUGCCCCCUCCCAGGGCCUGCCGAGGCCUCAGGGUAGUGAUGGACAAGCUCUGCUCCAAACCUUCUCACCUUGUCUCCGAAACAUCAGAGUUGGAAGCAGCCCCGAGGUACCAGUGAUGUGCCAGUCAAAUACUUCUGACUGUCCCAUCCUUUCUCUCCCUGAUACCACUGCCCAGGCCAGGCCCUCCUCAUCUCUCCCCUGGACCGUGGCAGUGCCCCCCUCACCCCCUACUCCCCAUGCACCCCCACGAACUCCUGCGGCACGGUCCACUUCCUGGGCGGCUGGGCAGCCAGUCUUCCCAAUAAACAGAGUUCCUGGCGGGGCAGACGUGGGUCCUGACCGCCUUCGAUCUCCACACAGCACGUGACUGGUCCAUCAGACAACUCGGCAAACGUCUCGAAUGAGCAACUGGACGGCUGGCAGAAGCCUGUAUCUCUGUUGCUCACUUCGGCACCUCACACACCGCCUGGCGUUAUUUAACAGGUCCUCCUGGGUUGGGACGCUCCUCAGGCCUGGCAGGCGAGGCCUCACAGCCAGGACUUAACCUUCGUGGCCACCGUCCAUGCAGCCAGGCCCCAGUGUCCUGUCAGUCCCACCCCAGAGCCCUGCGGUUCCAGCCUCCACAUUCCACACUGCUCCCGGCCACCAUCUUAAGGCCGUUUGUGAAAGUCCUGCCUGAUCUUUCUUCAAGGGCCCAGUCGAUUCUUCUUCCUCCAUGAAGCCGUCCUUGGAGACCCAGGCCACACCGCCCACAUUUAUCGUUCCCCUGGCACUUGCCCUGAUCCCAGCCAGCACCUCUGGUUGCACCCCAGUAACUCCUACCAGACCGUAAGCUCCUGUAGUGCAGGGGCUGUGGCUUCUACAAGUCAGAGCCCACUCCCAUGAUGAGCACUUAACAAAUACUCAUUUAAUAACAUGUCCAGUCGGGGGUCCAGCGUGUCCUGGGGGAACAUCCUUCUCCUACCCGAGCCCCCCGGGGGCUCACCUCUCUCCUCAGCCUCCAGGGCUUCCUGCAAGAGCCGAAAAGAGCUGGACUGCCGGGGGGCCACCCGUGCCUCGCGAUUUUCCUGCAGCAUUUUGAAGACUUCUGAGUCCUCUCUCAGGAGGUGGCUUUCCCCUUCCGAGGCCACGCUGCAGGGAUGGGAAGGAGGCAGCCAGGAGUGAGGGCCCCAUUCCCAGGGGUUGGGAUGAGCAUGAGGACAGAGAAAGAGUGUCCCGGGGGCGUAAAAGGGAUUCUGGGGGCCAGAGGAAAGUGGACGGGGGUUAGGGAGGGGGGGACCCCCCCAUCCCUCUCUGGGAAGCCUGUCUCCUGCCCCUCCCAGGCCCUCCAAGAUCCCACCCCACCCUCCAGAACUCACUGGUACCUGAGCCUGGGGCUGGAGGAACGGGGACCUGGGGAAGGCGGUGGCGGCAGAACCAGCACAGCCGAGUCGCCAGCACGGCCCAGGCCGGCCUGCGGGAAGGAGAGGCACCAGGGGAGGAGUCAGCGGCCGGGCCUGGGGCCAGCACACCCAUCUGGGCAGCCGAACCCAGCUGUUCCCCAGGCCCACCACCAGGGGGCCCCCGGCCCUCGCUGACCAGUAGCCCCACCCAACCAGCUCGCAGAACCGGGGGUCAGCAGCCGCCUGCAACUGCUCCUGCUGGGUCCCCGAGGGGAGGGAGGCCAGCGCCCAGCUCUAGAAGGGUGAGCCUGCUGCCCUAAGGGGACUGGGCAAGGGGCAGGAUGAAGAUGAGUGUGCGGGGCCACCAUGGCUGUUCCUCUGCCAUCUCACACAAUGUGUUUGCAAAGAUGUUGCACACUGGGGCCUGGCAGGCAGAACAAGCAGAGAGAAAGUAAGCUGACCCUUCUGCAAUGAGGAACAGGAAACAUAAAGGGCCAAGACCCCUCUUGGCGUCAGGGCUCAGGCCGCACAAAAGUCCUGUCUCCUACACCCUCUGGUCCUUCCUCUGAAAUGGCCAGGGUCUGGGCUUACCAGCCUCUCCCAGCUGCCCUGGAAGGUCUGGUCCUGCCCCACAGAGCCUUGGGGAGCCAGGUCCCCACAGCAGAGCCCCCUGCUCGAUGUGUGCUGUCCCUCUCAGGCUCCUACACCUGCUCUCUACCUGGAAAUCUUGCCUUCAGUCUCCCUGUUUUCCGGCCUGCACUCCGCACCCUCCCCUACUCUGCUCCCUCUCCGUGGCCAGCCCCAAUGGAAAGGACAGCCUCAGAGACGACCAGGCCGGCCAAGGUGCACCGGCUGAGGGCAUGGUCUCCUGGAAAGGAAAAUGCCCUCGAUUUUAAAGUUCAAAGUUGGGGAUGAAUUAUGGGGUCAAGUGGAAAAGCUGCAUGACUUCUUAACCUGAAAACAGAAACUUCACAGAGCUAAAAAACAGCACUAGGGACUUCCCUGGCAGUCCAGUGGUUGGGACUCCGUGCUUCCACUGCAGAGGGCAAGGGUUCGAUUCCUGGUUGGGGAAGUAAGAUCCCACAUGCCAUAAAUAAAUAAAAAAUGUGGGGUUUUUUUGG